UACGAGUGCUCCAAGCGUUAUCCGGAAUCAUUGGGCGUAAAGGGUGUGUAGGUGGUUGUGUUAGUCUUCUGUUAAAUUCUUCGGCUUAACCGGGGGCAUGCAGGGGAAACGGCACAACUAGAGGAUGCGAGAGGUACAUGGAACUCAUGGAGUAGGGGUGAAAUCCGUUGAUAUCAUGGGGAACACCGAAAGCGAAGGCAAUGUACUGGCGCACUCCUGACACUGAGACACGAAAGCGUAGGUAGCGAAUGGG
rnacentral:rRNA from 1 species